CUGGUCUUCAGAAGUCAACACCAGAAAAAAAGGAAACAGUAAACUUUGAGAAAGGAAUCUCUCCCAGUAAUCUCUGUCUACAAAAGAAGAAUACUCAAAAUAUGCAUCUAAACCAGUCUCCUGAAAUGACUGUUAAAAAAUUAAUGAUUGGAAAGAAAAGUUUCUCACCAGUUCUAACUACUUCAUAUUUGGUAAGAAUAUUAAAGUUACUUUACAGUUAUUUUAACUGACGUUAUUCCAUUCAGCUGCUACAUGUCUUAAUGCUUUUGUAGAUCUCAUUUCAAUAAUGUUUUUUUUUUAUUUGUUAAUGUGUAGCUCAACUUAACUUCAGUAACCCCACAGAAAACAUACUGUGGAAAAAACACAGAGGGAUCUGUAUCUGAAACAUGUGAUGCUGAUGAAAAUUUAAGUUUUAGACAUGGCUUUUCAGACAAAAUUUCUAUCGAAGGAAAACAAGACAGUACUAAACCUGUCAUAAAAAAGAAAGGAGAGGAAUUAUCUUCAGUAUCUGUGUCCAGUGGAAGUGGAGUACAGUCUUGGAGUCAAGAACCUUACAGCCCUGCACAUGAAUCAGCAUACGAAAAUUUGUCCACUGUAUCUGUAAGUGAUCCAGCUGCUUUGGAUGUGGACAUCUGGGAACCUGGUUGUUCAACUAUUGAUAUAUGUCAGAAGCUCCGAAAAGAAUACACUAAGAAAAUUGAGAGCCGUUCACGGAAAAUGGAGCAUUUUGCAAAGCAGUCAUUAAGAACUGCCAACCAGC
rnacentral:lncRNA from 1 species